AGGACGAACGCUGGCGGCGUGCCUAACACAUGCAAGUCGAGCGAGGAGAUCCUCGGGAUGAUCCUAGCGGCGGACGGGUGAGUAACACGUGGGCAACCUGCCUCAUAGAGAGGAAUAGCCUUCCGAAAGGGAGAUUAAUACCUCAUAACAUUGCAGUUUCGCAUGGAACAGCAAUUAAAGGAGUAAUCCGCUAUGAGAUGGGCCCGCGGCGCAUUAGCUAGUUGGUGAGGUAAUGGCUCACCAAGGCGACGAUGCGUAGCCGACCUGAGAGGGUGAUCGGCCACAUUGGGACUGAGACACGGCCCAGACUCCUACGGGAGGCAGCAGUGGGGAAUAUUGCACAAUGGGGGAAACCCUGAUGCAAGCAACGCCGCGUGAGUGAUGACGGUCUUCGGAUUGUAAAGCUCUGUCUUCAGGGACGAUAAUGACGGUACCUGAGGAGGAAGCCACGGCUAACUACGUGCCAGCCGCCGC
rnacentral:rRNA from 1 species